UCACUUCACAUUAAUCGCCAUUUCCCUAUAUAGGGUGUGCCGGUUUCGGCCGGCUAUGGCGAUAAACGACGGUGUGCAAUAGGCACAGCGGACCCGGGGGCAGUACCCGGCGGCUCCACCAUCUGGGCCGAGCCGCGCGACCAGCCCGCAUGACGCGGGCCGGCCGGGCGGCUCAGCUGAUGGGGCCGAACCAGGAUCGACGUGUGUUGAAAAGCACCGACUUUCGCUCGGAAGGGGCCACCGUGACGGCUCAUCACACAAGUGCCAACGAUAACGAGGCGCUCGCGAUUGCCGCGUAACCAAAGCCUCACGGCCUAGGUUACUAAGGACAAAAGCGCGGUCGGGCCGCACCGGGCAACAGAAGCGGAUUCCAGCGGCUUGGGGGUGCCGGGCAACAGAAACCCCCACU
rnacentral:tmRNA from 1 species